GCGACCCCAGGUCAGACGGGACUACCCGCUGAGUUUAAGCAUAUAAAUAAGCGGAGGAGAAGA
rnacentral:rRNA from 1 species